rnacentral:rRNA from 1 species
AUGAAUCCCUCGUUAGCCCCUGGUCCGGAUGGCCUCCCAGUGAAGUUGUUCCAGAACUUCUGGGAGGUUAUUAAACCUGAGGUGAUGGCCCUCUUUGAGGAGUUCUAUGUUGGCUCCAUAGAUCUUGCCAGGCUGAACUUUGGGAUUAUCACCCUCAUUCCCAAAGUACCCGGAGCUUCGGAUAUUCGCCAGUUCCGACUGAUUAAGGUGAUCAACGUUGUCUUCCGCAUCCUCACGAAGGGGUACGUCAUUAGGGUGGCCCCAAUUGCGGAUCAGAUCACACACCCAGAUUAGUCGGCAUUCAUCCAAGGCCGGUAUAUCUUUGAUGGAGUCCUAGUGAUUCACGAAGCUCUCCAUGAGUUGCACUCCAAACACCUCAAGGCAGUUUUCCUGAAACUAGACUUCCACAAGGCUUACGACACGGUCAAUUGGUCCUUCCUUUGGGAAUGCUUGCUCCAGAAGGGAUUCGACGAUCACUGGGUGAACCGAGUGAUGCAAAUGGUCUCCUCGGGCCGGACUGCGGUGAAAAGUAAUGGUGAGAUAGGCCCUUACUUCCCCACAUUCUGUGGGGUCUGUUAG